GACGAACGCUGGCGGCGUGCUUAACACAUGCAAGUCGAACGGAAAGGCCCUGCUUUUGUGGGGUGCUCGAGUGGCGAACGGGUGAGUAACACGUGAGUAACCUGCCCUUAACUUUGGGAUAACUUCAGGAAACUGGGGCUAAUACCGGAUAGGAGCUCCUGCUGCAUGGUGGGGGUUGGAAAGUUUCGGCGGUUGGGGAUGGACUCGCGGCUUAUCAGCUUGUUGGUGGGGUAGUGGCUUACCAAGGCUUUGACGGGUAGCCGGCCUGAGAGGGUGACCGGCCACAUUGGGACUGAGAUACGGCCCAGACUCCUACGGGAGGCAGCAGUGGGGAAUAUUGCACAAUGGUCGGAAGCCUGAUGCAGCAACGCCGCGUGCGGGAUGACGGCCUUCGGGUUGUAAACCGCUUUCGCCUGUGACGAAGCGUGAGUGACGGUAAUGGGUAAAGAAGCACCGGCUAACUACGUG
rnacentral:rRNA from 1 species